AAUGAACGUUGGCGGCGUGGAUUAGGCAUGCGAGUCGUGCGAGAACCGUAGCAAUACGGGGACAGCGGCGAAAGGGAGAGGAAUACGUGGAUACCUACCCUCAGGUUCAGGAUAGCUAUGGGAAACUAUAGGUAAUACUGAAUAAUAUCUCCGGAUCAAAGGUGUGAUUCCACCUGAGGAGGGGUCCGCGUCCUAUUAGCUAGUUGGUGUGGUAACGGCGCACCAAGGCGAAGAUGGGUACGGGAUGUGAGAGCAUAAUCCCGCUCAUUGGGACUGAGACACUGCCCAGACACCUACGGGUGGCUGCAGUCGAGAAUCUUCGGCAAUGGGGGAAACCCUGACUGAGCGACGCCGCGUGUGAGAUGUAGGCCUUCGGGUUGUAAGUCACUGUCGUAGAGGAGGAAAUGUAGGUGGGUUCUCCCAUCUAUUUGACCUAUUCUAGGAGGAAGGACGGGCUAAGUUCGUGCCAGCCGCCGCGGUAA
rnacentral:rRNA from 1 species